CUGAGGAAGAGGGUGACAUGAGUGCCACUGCAACUACGGAUACAAGCGAUGAAAACAGCGAAAAUAUUUCAAGGCGACGAGGAUUCGGAGUACGCUCUGGUUAUGCAGACGAGGACUCGCGACCUCCGGUUGCCCAGACGAGCUUCUUUCAAAAAGGACGUGAAUUUGAAAGCGCGUAUGACAACCACAAGUUUACAGAAAAGGAGAAACAACAGUUGGCAACGUACGACAGUCUUGACUAUUUCCCGCCGCACAGCGUCGUGUACAAGAAUUGGAUAAAACGUCAACCAGCUCGCCUUGAUUGGGACAGAUGGGUAAUGAUGGGUCUUAUUGGAUUCACUGUGGGCUUUGUUGGCUUUCUACUCCAUCAACUAAUUGACCUUAUCAUGGAUUUUAAAUGGGAAAUGGCCAAUGAAAUGAUAAAGGAAAAAGAAUAUGGCCUGGCAUGGUUCUGGGUGGUAGGAUAUAGUGUUAUCUUUGCUGUUCUUGGAUCAUCCAUGGUUGUGUUCUUUCGUCCAGCAGCAGCUGGUUCUGGCAUCCCAGAACUGAUUGGAUUUCUGAAUGGCACUAUCAUUCGUCGCAUUUUCAAUGUGAAGACAAUGGUAGUGAAAUUCUUCUCCUGCGUUUGUGCUGUGGCAUCAGGCUUGCCUGUUGGUCCAGAGGGUCCUAUGAUUCAUUUAGGUGGAUUGAUUGGUGCUGGUCUAAGCCAAUUUCGUUCCUCAACGCUCAAACUAAACCUUCCGUAUUUUCAAAGAUUUAGAAAUCCUGAAGACAGACGCAACUUUAUCUCGGCGGGAGCUGGUGCAGGUGUUGCGAGUGCUUUUGGUGCUCCUGUUGGUGGUCUGUUGUUUGCCAUGGAGGAAGUAUCAUCAUUUUGGAACAUGAAAUUAUCAUGGCAGAUUUUCUUUUGCACCAUGGUCGCCACCUUUACCACUGAUCUCUUUAACUCAGCUUUCAAAGGUUUCAAAUACGAAGAUGAUUUCGGUUUAUUUAAAGCAGAGCGAUACAUUCUCUUUCAGAUUGAUCACGGAGUCGCCCUACAUAUUCUCGUGUUUAUUCCAGUUGCCGUACUAGGAUUUUUGGGUGGGAUUUUAGGAGCGGUUUUUACUUUUAUCAAUUUAAAGAUUAACAGGUUCAGGAGAUAUCAUCUUGCAAGAAUAAAACGUAAAUGGCUGAAUAACUGUGUCCGAGUGUUUGAAGUGUUUUUGCUCAUGGUAAUCGUUGGAACAGUCGCUGUUUUCCUGCCAGCUCCUUUUCCAUGUUCUAAAUUUGAGUGUUCUUUUGAGGGAUCAAAAUUUGAUGAUGAGUGUUUGGUUGAGCAUCGCAGUCCAUUGCAUACAGAGAGAACUGUGAAUAAUUACACUUGUGAGGAAGGAAUAACGGUAAUGAUGAACGGAACGAAAUACACAAACGGUUCAUUCAACCAAGUUGCAACGCUGCUGUUUGCAAGUGGGGAGGAAGCAAUCCAUCAUCUCUUCUCAAGAGAUACUCAUAGAGAAUUCACAUACGGUCCAUUAUUGACCGUAUUAGUGGUGUAUUUUAUCUUGGCGUGUUGGGCGGCAGGAACGUCGAUUUCCAGCGGCCUUGUUGUGCCAAUGCUUUUUAUAGGUGGAACUUAUGGAAGAGUUAUUGGCAAGUUGAUGGUUGAUUUGUUUGGUGUUCACACAGAGGGUCAAUGGGCUUGGAUGGACCCUGGAGCCUUCGCCUUGAUUGGAGCGGCCUCGUUUUUUGGUGGGGUGUCCAGGUUGACCAUGUCUUUGACCGUCAUAAUGAUUGAAAUUACGAAUGAUAUUCAAUUCUUACUGCCAAUCAUGGUAGCAAUCAUGGUCUCAAAGUGGGUCGGAGAUUUCGUGACUCAUCCGUUGUAUCACGCGCUUCUUGAAUUCAAAUGUAUCCCUUUCUUGGACUCUGAACCUGUUGUGUUUACUCAUGGUGGAAAAAAGAAUGUUAAUUUAGAGUUGUAUCAAGCAAAAGAUGUUAUGUCUUCACCAGCUGAGGUGUUGCAUUUGUCAGUGAGUGUUCAACAGUUGGCCCGUGUGUUGCUAGAGACACCUCAUGGAGGAUUUCCUAUUGUGAAGAAACUACGCCAUGGUGAUGAAGUGUUUAUUGGACUCGUUACAAGGUUGGAUAUUAGUAUUCUGUUGUCGCAUAAGAAAUUCAGCAGCAGUGGUCCUCACAGCAGCCCUGAUGGAGCGCAGAAUUAUGAAAUAACUGAUGUGGAUUAUGAAAAGCUUUCCGUUACCUACCUUCCCAAUGCAGAUGAUUUAAACAACAAGUUACAUAAAUAUGUUGAUCAGGAACUAUAUGCUAAUAUUUUUGUUGACCUGUCACCUUAUGUCAACGACUCAGCUCUAAGUGUCCAAUCAAAUUUUUCACUGCACAGAACCUACAUUAUAUACCGAACCUUGGGAUUAAGGCAUUUGACUGUGGUUGAUAGAUGCAAUGGGGUAGUUGGAAUGAUUACCAGGAAAGACCUGAUGGGCUUCAAUCUUGAGGAGAAAAUUGGUCAAAUCAUUGAAAAGCAACAGGAACAUACACACAUUGAGAUGUCUGGACCUGUAUGAGACCAUGAUGAGACUGAUGCAUGAUAUCUUGUGAUUCCAGAAGCCAUAAAUAGCUGAGCUGAUGCACUCUUAAGUUCAGCAAAAUGUAUAUAUGCCCUACUGCCUCGAAAUCAUUGAUAAAAUGACACAUCUGAAAGCUUCAGAACACAAGUGAAUGGAAAAGGAAGGUGAA
rnacentral:misc_RNA from 1 species